rnacentral:lncRNA from 1 species
GUCAAUUCAACUGAGCUGAGAGUUUUCCCACCAAUCUGAGGUUGUGAUGUGUACUUGUGGACACCACCUCAAACAUCUGAUAUAGCUAAAACGAUCGAAUUGAUCUGAGCUGCCUGGCUAACCAAAAAACCCCAAAUUGGCUUCCUCCUCCCAUAGAAGAAGAUAAAACCCUAGAAAUCAAAGGUUGGGUUUCCACGAAAAUUGAAGAUGAAGCCUGAAAUAAUUGACGGAUGGGAAGAGUUGGAUCUGGUGGCACAGCGUUGCUUUUGUGGGAAGUUAGCUCGCUUACAAACUUCGUGGACUGAGGUGAACCCACUUCGAAGAUUCCAUGUUUGUCCAAACUCAUCAGGGGUAAGUCAUGUUGUUGAAAGUCUGUGAAUUGGGUUAAAUUUUUAUAUUAAUUGCUAUUAAUGGUUGAUGCAGAUAAGGAAAAAAGGAUGUUAGUUUUUUGUUUGGGUGGAUGUUGAAUUUCCACCUAGAGAGAAAGCUCUGGUGAGUUGGCUACUUAGAAGAUUGAAGGAACUUGAAAAGGACGUUGGGCAUUGUCAAUCAAGAGAAAAAAAGUUAAUGGGUUGGCUUAUUCUUUCCUGGGGUUUAGUAAUGUUGUUGUUGUUUUGGCAAUUUUUGUAAUAGUUGCCACAAAAUGUAGCCAUUGCAAUGGAGGAAUUAGGCAGAUUAUAGAAGUCCGUAUUUUGCAACUGUAUGUAAAAUAUCAUGUAUUGGUACGUAUGUAAUGAUGGAGGAACAUGGUUUGAUUUUGCAACUUGAUGUAACAAUGUAUUGGUACUUAUCUAAUGAAUAUGGUUUUUGAACACAAUGUGGG